rnacentral:rRNA from 1 species
UACGUAGGGUGCGAGCGUUAAUCGGAAUUACUGGGCGUAGAGCGUGCGCAGGCGGUUCGUUGUGUCGGCGGUGAAAGCCCCGGGCUUAACCUGGGAAUGGCCGUUGAAACUGGCGAACUGGAGUGUGGCAGAGGGGGGUGGAAUUCCGCGUGUAGCAGUGAAAUGCGUAGAGAUGCGGAGGAACACCGAUGGCGAAGGCAGCCCCCUGGGCUGACACUGACGCUCAGGCACGAAAGCGUGGGGAGCAAACAGG